rnacentral:rRNA from 1 species
CAGUCGCCGCGGGAAUACGUAGGUCCCGAGCGUUGUCCGGAUUUAUUGGGCGUAAAGCGCGUCUAGGUGGUUAUGUAAGUCUGAUGUGAAAAUGCAGGGCUCAACUCUGUAUUGCGUUGGAAACUGUGUAACUAGAGUACUGGAGAGGUAAGCGGAACUACAAGUGUAGAGGUGAAAUUCGUAGAUAUUUGUAGGAAUGCCGAUGGGGAAGCCAGCUUACUGGACAGAUACUGACGCUAAAGCGCGAAAGCGUGGGUAGCAAACAGGAUUAGAUAUCCCUGUAGUCCCUGUCUCUUAUACA